CCGAGGGUACGGUAGACCGACGAAGACCACCCCUAUUCCCGCUUCUAUAGUUGCGACUCUAGUUGAAUCAAAAGGUGGAGUUGUUUCCUGUCGUUUUACGAGGAAGAAGAAAGAUGACCAGAUGGUGGAUUUUACAAAGACAUGGUAUCUUGUGUAUGCAGGCGGCCCUAUGAGUGGAGACAAAAUAGGCAUACACUCCACUACUCCAAAAACAAGCCCUCAGAAAAUGGACGUCUGUGAAAUUGGAGAGCUUGGCGUAGAGGAGGAAAGCUUUGCAUUGGUACAGGC